rnacentral:rRNA from 1 species
CUACGGGGGGCUGCAGUUUCGAAUAAUUCACAAUGGGCGCAAGCCUGAUGAUGCGACGUUACGUGAAGGAAGAAAGCUUUAAGUUGUAAACUUCUGUCGUUAAGGAACAAAAAAUUAAGUAGUACUUUUUAUAUUGAGUUAACUUAAAAAGGAAGCAGUGGCUAAUUUUGUGCCAGCAGCCGCGGUAAUACGGGAACUGCAAGCGUUGCUCGGUUUUAUUGGGCGUAAAGAGUACGUAGGCUGUUAUACAUGUUAAUUGUUAAAUUUUAAAGUUAAUCUUUAAAUUUGCUGUUAAAACUAUAUAACUAGAAUUUCAAAGAGGUAAGUGGAAUUUCAAGUGUAGCGGUGAAAUGCGUAGAUAUUUGAAGGAACACCAAUGGCGAAAGCAACUUACUGGGUGAUAAUUGACGCUAAAGUACGAAAGUAUAGGGAGCAAAAGGGAUUAGAUACCCGCGUAGUC